rnacentral:rRNA from 1 species
GAUGAACGCUGGCGGCGUGCCUAAUACAUGCCAGUCGAGCGAACGGACCAGACGCUUGCUUCUUUGAUGUUAGCGGCGGACGGGUGAGUAACACGUGGAUAACCUACCUAUAAGUCUGGGAUAACUUCGGGAAACCGGAGCUAAUACCGGAUAAUAUUUUGAACCGCAUGGUUCAAUAGUGAAAGACGGUCUUGCUGUCACUUAUAGAUGGAUCUGAGCUGCUUUAGCUAGUUGGUACGGUAACGGCCUACCACGGCAACGAUGCAUAGACGACCUGGGAGGGUGGUCGGCGACACUAGAACUUGAACACGGUCCAUGCUACUGCGGGACGCAGCAGUAGGGUAUGGUAGGCAAGAGGCGGGAGCAUGACGGAGUGAGGCCGAGUGAGAUGUAAAGGCGUUCGGUGCGUAAUAAUCUGUUUUUAGUGGUGAACAUAUGUGUAAGGAACUGUGCAGAGAUUGACGGUACUUGGUCAGGAAGCCACGGCUAACUACGUG